rnacentral:rRNA from 1 species
GCUAAACAGCUAGCUCGACUAUCAAAGCCAAAACCACAACAUUUUUCAUCUUUUUAAGAAACUAAAAAACUAAACUAAAACAUUCUUCUGCCUUAGUACGGGCGACGGAAAAGGCACUUAGCCAAGCAAUAGAAAAAGUACCGCAAGGGAAAGCUGAAAGAGAAGUGAAAAAACCCAUUUAAGCCUAAAAAAGCAGAGACUAAACCUCGUACCUUUUGCAUCAUGAUUUAGCUAGCACACCUGAGCAAAGAGAACUUUAGUUCAAAACCCCGAAACCAAGUGAGCUACCCCGAGACAGCCUAUAAUAGGGCCAACCCGUCUCUGUGGCAAAAGAGUGGGAAGAUCUCCAGGUAGAGGUGACAAACCUACCGAACUUGGUGAUAGCUGGUUGCCUAGGAAACGGAUAGAAGUUCAGCCUCGUACCCCUCAGCUCAAACAAGAACUACACCACACGAGAUCGAGCAACAUACGAGAGUUAGUCAAAGGGGGUACAGCCCCUUUGAACCAGGACACAACCUGCCCAGGAGGUUAAGGAUCACACUAAACAAGAUCACUGCUCCAGUGGGCCUAAAAGCAGCCACCUGAACAGAAAGCGUUAAAGCUCAGGCAGAACCAGAUCUAUUAUUCUGAUAUAUUUUUUCCAAACCCCUCCCCCCCCUACUAGGCCACUCCAUGCUUACAUGGAAGAGAUUAUGCUAAAAUGAGUAAUAAGAAGGAACCCCCUUCUCCCGGCCCAUGUGUAAGUCAGAUUGGACCAACCACUGACAAUUAACGAGCCCAACCAAAGAGGGUAAUGUGAUAACAAAGAAAACCAAGAAACCCCCACACAAGACCAAUCGUUAACCCAACACUGGAGUGCCACAAGGGAAAGACUAAAAGAAAAGGAAGGAACUCGGCAAACACAAGCCUCGCCUGUUUACCAAAAACAUCGCCUCCUGCAAAAAUCAAUGUAUAGGAGGUCCCACCUGCCCAGUGACUAUUAGUUAAACGGCCGCGGUAUUUUGACCGUGCUAAGGUAGCGCAAUCACUUGUCUUUUAAAUGAAGACCUGUAUGAAUGGUAUAACGAGGGCUUAACUGUCUCCCUUCUCCAGUCAAUGAAAUUGAUCUACCCGUGCAGAAGCGGGUAUAAAAAUACAAGACGAGAAGACCCUUUGGAGCUUAAGACAAAAAGCCAACCGUGUUAAAAGCCCCCAGCAAAAUUAGGCUAAACAAAACAGCAACUGGCCAACGUCUUCGGUUGGGGCGACCGCGGGGGAAAACAAAGCCCCCAUGUGGACUGGGAAUUUUCCUAAAACUAAGAGAUACAUCUCUAAGUCACAGAACAUCUGACCUAAAGAUCCGGCCCGUCAAGCCGAUCAACGAACCAAGUUACCCUAGGGAUAACAGCGCAAUCCUCUUCAAGAGUCCAUAUCGACAAGAGGGUUUACGACCUCGAUGUUGGAUCAGGACAUCCUAAUGGUGCAGCCGCUAUUAAGGGUUCGUUUGUUCAACGAUUAAAGUCCUACGUGAUCUGAGUUCAGACCGGAGCAAUCCAGGUCAGUUUCUAUCUGUAAAUGUUAUUUUUCCUAGUACGAAAGGACCGGAAAAACGAGGCCCCUGCUCUAAGCACGCCCCACUCUAACUUGAUGAAACCAACUAAACCAAACAAAAGAGAGCACCCUCUUUCAAGCCCGAGAUAAGAGCUU